UUACAGAUGGAACUCCUCUUUCUGCUUUUCCUGCUACUCACUACUGCCUUAACAAGU
rnacentral:scRNA from 1 species